rnacentral:rRNA from 1 species
GGGAAACAGGUUAAUAUUCCUGUACUUCUGGUUACUGCGAUGGAGGGACGGAGAAGGCUAGGCCAGCUUGGCGUUGGUUGUCCAAGUUUAAGGUGGUAGGCUGAAAUCUUAGGUAAAUCCGGGGUUUCAAGGCCGAGAGCUGAUGACGAGUCGUCUUUUAGAUGACGAAGUGGUUGAUGCCAUGCUUCCAAGAAAAGCUUCUAAGCUUCAGGUAACCAGGAACCGUACCCCAAACCGACACAGGUGGUCGGGUAGAGAAUACCAAGGCGCUUGAGAGAACUCGGGUGAAGGAACUAGGCAAAAUGGCACCGUAACUUCGGGAGAAGGUGCGCCGGCUAGGGUGAAGGAUUUACUCCGUAAGCUCUGGCUGGUCGAAGAUACCAGGCCGCUGCGACUGUUUAUUAAAAACACAGCACUCUGCAAACACGAAAGUGGACGUAUAGGGUGUGACGCCUGCCCGGUGCCGGAAGGUUAAUUGAUGGGGUUAGCGCAAGCGAAGCUCUUGAUCGAAGCCCCGGUAAACGGCGGCCGUAACUAUAACGGUCCUAAGGUAGCGAAAUUCCUUGUCGGGUAAGUUCCGACCUGCACGAAUGGCGUAACGAUGGCGGCGCUGUCUCCACCCGAGACUCAGUGAAAUUGAAAUCGCUGUGAAGAUGCAGUGUAUCCGCGGCUAGACGGAAAGACCCCGUGAACCUUUACUGUAGCUUUGCACUGGACUUUGAGCCUGCUUGUGUAGGAUAGGUGGGAGGCUUUGAAGCGUGGACGCCAGUUCGCGUGGAGCCAUCCUUGAAAUACCACCCUGGCAUGCUUGAGGUUCUAACUCUGGUCCGUGAUCCGGAUCGAGGACAGUGUAUGGUGGGCAGUUUGACUGGGGCGGUCUCCUCCUAAAGAGUAACGGAGGAGUACGAAGGUGCGCUCAGACCGGUCGGAAAUCGGUCGCAGAGUAUAAAGGCAAAAGCGCGCUUGACUGCGAGACAGACACGUCGAGCAGGUACGAAAGUAGGUCUUAGUGAUCCGGUGGUUCUGUAUGGAAGGGCCAUCGCUCAACGGAUAAAAGGUACUCCGGGGAUAACAGGCUGAUACCGCCCAAGAGUUCAUAUCGACGGCGGUGUUUGGCACCUCGAUGUCGGCUCAUCACAUCCUGGGGCUGAAGCCGGUCCCAAGGGUAUGGCUGUUCGCCAUUUAAAGUGGUACGCGAGCUGGGUUUAGAACGUCGUGAGACAGUUCGGUCCCUAUCUGCCGUGGACGUUUGAGAUUUGAGAGGGGCUGCUCCUAGUACGAGAGGACCGGAGUGGACGAACCUCUGGUGUUCCGGUUGUCACGCCAGUGGCAUUGCCGGGUAGCUAUGUUCGGAAAAGAUAACCGCUGAAAGCAUCUAAGCGGGAAACUUGCCUCAAGAUGAGAUCUCACUGGGAACUUGAUUCCCCUGAAGGGCCGUCGAAGACUACGACGUUGAUAGGCUGGGUGUGUAAGCGUUGUGAGGCGUUGAGCUAACCAGUACUAAUUGCCCGUGAGGCUUGACCAU